AAUUUUGGACUAAUGCUGCAAGAUAGCAGUGGGAACAGUGUAGUCUGCACCUCAGAUUCAUCCUAACCAAAGGGUUGGGGUUUUGAAGUAGUGGGUGUCCGACUUCAGAGUUGUCUUCCUAGAGCCGCUGAUACCAAACUUGGCAGAGGAGAAGGAUGGUAUCAAUGCGUUUCUGGGUGGUUGCCUGGACAAGAGAGUUCAGCCUUCGGGAGAUAAAGCAGGAUAUGCAGCAAGUGCAUGUCAUUGGCUCUGAUGCCUUUCCUCUGGACACCCCUGUUUGAACCUCAACUCUGGUUCUCAGAACCACACCAUCAGUGGUUUGGAGGCCAGAAAGGAUCACCUGCCUGGAGCCUCUGAAACAGCCCUUCAACACCAAAGAUGAGAAAACUUCUGGAACCUGCAC